GCCAGGAUGGCUCAGUUGGUUAAGCGUCCGACUUCAGCUCAGGUGGUGAUCUCGCUGUUUGUGGGUUCGAGCCCCGCGUCAGGCU
rnacentral:tRNA from 1 species